UGGGGGGUCGGCUAACGGCAAGCCGGCGGUCUUUGGAACCGCAAAUUCAGGUUCGAUUCCUGGCCCCCCAGCCA
rnacentral:tRNA from 1 species